CCUACGGGAGGCAGCAGUGAGGAAUAUUGGUCAAUGGGCGCGAGCCUGAACCAGCCAAGUCGCGUGAGGGAGGACGGCCCUACGGGUUGUAAACCUCUUUUGCCGGGGAGCAACGGGCGUCACGUGUGGCGCCACUGAGAGUACUCGGAGGAAAAGCAUCGGCUACCUCCGUGCCAGCAGCCGCGGUAAUACGGAGGAUGCGAGCGUUAUCCGGAUUUAUUGGGUUUAAGGGGUGCGUAGGCGGAUCGUUAAGUCAGUGGUCAAAUGGAGGGGCUCAACCCCUUCCCGCCAUUGAAACUGGCGUUCUUGAGUGGAAGAGAAGUAUGCGGAAUGCGUGGUGUAGCGGUGAAAUGCAUAGAUAUCACGCAGAACCCCGAUUGCGAAGGCAGCAUGCCGGCUUCCGACUGACGCUGAAGCACGAAAGCGUGGGGAUCGAACAGGAUUAGAUACCCUUGUAGUC
rnacentral:rRNA from 1 species